rnacentral:rRNA from 1 species
UACGUAGGGGGCUAGCGUUGUCCGGAAUCAUUGGGCGUAAAGAGCGUGUAGGCGGCCCGGUAAGUCCGCUGUGAAAGUCGGGGGCUCAACCCUCGAAUGCCGGUGGAUACUGUCGGGCUAGAGUGCGGAAGAGGCGAGUGGAAUUCCUGGUGUAGCGGUGAAAUGCGCAGAUAUCAAGAGGAACACCAGUGGCGAAGGCGAGUCCCUGGACAACACCUGACACUGAGGCACGAAAGCCGGGGGAGCAAACAGG